GGGGAGAAAAAGAGAGGUAAGUUGCUGCCUCUGGGUUGUGGCCCCAGAGGUCGUGGGUUCAAAUCCCAUCACUCACCCCA
rnacentral:tRNA from 1 species